GGGCCGUUAGCUCAGUUGGUAGAGCACCGCGUUUGCAACGCGGGGGUCGCAGGUUCGAAUCCUGUACGGUCCA
rnacentral:tRNA from 1 species